rnacentral:tRNA from 1 species
GGGCCCAUAGCUCAGUCCGGCAGAGCCACCGGCUCAUAACCGGUCGGUCGCAGGUUCGAAUCCUGCUGGGCCCA